rnacentral:lncRNA from 1 species
UUUUUAAAUUUUAUUUUAAUUCCAUUCCAUUUCCUCUUUCUUUCUUUCUUUCUUUCUUUCUUUCUUUCUUUCUUUCUUUCUUUCUUUCUUUCUUUCUUUCUUUCUUUCUUUCUUUCUUUCUUUCUCUUCUUUCCUUUCUUCCUCUUUCUCUUUCUUUCUUUCUUUUCUUUCUUUCUUUCCUUUCUUUCUUUCAUUUCUUUCUUUCUUUCUUUCCUUUCUUUUCUUUCUUUCUUUUCUUUCUUUCUUUCUUUCUUUCUUCUCUUUCCUUUCAUUCUCUCUUCUUGACUCUCUUCCCUUUCUCUCUCUCUUUCCUUUUCUUUCUUUCCUUUCCUUUUCUUUCUUUCCUUUCCUUGCGAUACUUUCCUUCCUUUCUGUCAUUUCUUUUCUUUCCUUUUCUCUUCCUCUCUCUCUUUCUUUCUUUCUUUCUUUCUUUCUUUCUUUCUUUCUUUCUUCUCUCUCUCUCUUUCUUUCUUUCUUUCUUUCUUUCUUUCUUUCUUUUCUCUUUCUUUCUUUCUUUCUUUCUUUCUUUCUUUCUUUCUUUCUUUCUUUCUUUCUUUCUUUCUUUCUUUCUUUCUUUCUUUCUUUCUUUCUUUCUUUCUUUCUUUCUUUCUUUCUUUCUUUCUUUCUUUCUUUCUUUCUUUCUUUCUUUCUUUCUUUCUUUUCCUUCCUAUUGAUUUCUAAAGACUUU